CGGGGUAGAUCUCCCACCCUUGUGUAUCAUUAUAAAAUGUUGCUUUGGCGGGCCGCGAGCCUGGCUUGCCCGGACGAUACGUCCGGCGUGCCCGCCAGAGGAUCCCAAACUCUGAAUGUUAGUGUCGUCUGAGUACUAUUAAAUAGUUAAAACUUUCAACAACGGAUCUCUUGGUUCUGGCAUCGAUGAAGAACGCAGCGAAAUGCGAUAAGUAAUGUGAAUUGCAGAAUUCAGUGAAUCAUCGAAUCUUUGAACGCACAUUGCGCCCCUUGGUAUUCCGGGGGGCAUGCCUGUUCGAGCGUCAUUAAUACCAAUCUAGCCCUGCUAGGUGUUGGGCUUCGCCACCCGGCGGGCCUUAAAAUCAGUGGCGGUGCUCUGCAGCUCUACGCGUAGUAACUUUUCUCGCUAUAGGGCCUGUGGAGAUGCUUGCCAUCAACCCCAAAUUUUUCUAGGUUGACCUCGGAUC
rnacentral:sRNA from 1 species